AGAGUUUGAUCCUGGCUCAGGACGAACGCUGGCGGCGUGCUUAACACAUGCAAGUCGAACGAUGAAAGCGGGAGCUUGCUCCUGCCGGAUUAGUGGCGAACGGGUGAGUAACACGUGAGCAAUCUGCCCCUGACUCUGGGAUAAGCGUUGGAAACGACGUCUAAUACCGGAUACCAGAUGAGACCGCAUGGUCAUCAUCUGGAAAGAACUUCGGUCAGGGAUGAGCUCGCGGCCUAUCAACUUGUUGGUGAGGUAAUGGCUCAGAAAGGCGACGACCGGUAGCCGGCCUGAGAGGGUGACCGGCCACACUGGGACUGACACACUGCCCAGACUCCUACGGGAGGCAGCCGUGGGGAAUAUUGCACAAUGGGCGCAAGCCUGAUGCAGCAACUCCGCGUGAGGGAUGAAGGCCUGCUGGUUGUAAACCUCUUUUAGCAGGGAAUGAAGCGAAAGUGACGGAACCUGCAGAAAAAGCGCCUGCUAACUACGUGCCAGCAGCCGCGGUGAUACGUACGGCGCAAGCGUUGUCCGGAAUUAUUGGGCGUAAAGAGCUCGAAAGCGGUUUGUCGCGUCUGCUGUCGAAAUCCGAGGCUCAACAUCAGACCUGCAGUGCGUACCGGCUAACUAGAGUGCGGUAGGUGAGAUUGGUAAUCCUGAUGUAGCGGUAGAAUGCGCACAUAUCACGAAGCACACUCAUGGCGAAGGCAGAUGUCUCAGCUGUGAC
rnacentral:rRNA from 1 species